rnacentral:rRNA from 1 species
GACGAACGCUGGCGGCGUGCCUAAUACAUGCAAGUCGAGCGCAGGAAGCUGACGGAACUCUUCGGAGGGAAGGCAGUGGAAUGAGCGGCGGACGGGUGAGUAACACGUAAGGAACCUGCCUCAAGGAUUGGGAUAACUCCGAGAAAUCGGAGCUAAUACCGGAUAGUUCAACGGACCGCAUGGUCCGCUGAUGAAAGGCGCUCCGGCGUCACCUUGAGAUGGCCUUGCGGUGCAUUAGCUAGUUGGUGGGGUAACGGCCCACCAAGGCGACGAUGCAUAGCCGACCUGAGAGGGGGAUCGGCCACACUGGGACUGAGACACGGCCCAGACUCCUACGGGAGGCAGCAGUAGGGAAUCUUCCACAAUGGACGAAAGUCUGAUGGAGCAACGCCGCGUGAGUGAUGAAGGUUUUCGGAUCGUAAAACUCUGUUGUAAGGGAAGAACACGUACGAGAGGAAAUGCUCGUACCUUGACGGUACCUUACGAGAAAGCCACGGCUAACUACGUGCCAGCCGCCGCAGUAAAAC